AGGUGUGGAUUAAUGAGUACGAUCACUCCAAGCCCAUCCAGGGGCAGCAGAAGAAGCCCUUUGAGGAGCACUGGAGGAAGCACACCCUGUCCUAUGUGGACGUCAGCACUGGGAAGCAGAUGGUUUACUAGGUGAGUGUGUCCUCGAUUAUUUAAAUCAGGGGUCCCCAAUCCCCAGGCCACAGAUUGUUACCAGUCCAUGGCCUGUUAGGAACCAGGCCACACAGUAGGAGUGCACAGCCAGAGAACAACACAUCACACACAGGAAACAGUUGUGCUCAUGUGAUGGGGGCCUCAGCACUAGGAAGGAGUGGACUAUUGGCGCAUGUAGCAGCUUGAAUAAAUCUGAAAGUCACUACACUGCGUAAGAGAAGCCAAAUAAAAAAGUUCAUGCUGUGUACAGAGGGUGUUGAGAAUGCCUCCUACGUGACGGAAAGCAGAUCCGUGGUUCCCUGCAGACCGGCAGGAGCAGAUUCCAAAGGCACAGGAAGAAGCUUGCAGUACAAAGAUAAAAAUCUAAAGUGGUUGCUGUGGAGGACAGGGGUCAGUGGUGGAAGUGAGACUGAAAUGGACUCUGAAGUAAUAUCUGGACUUUGAAAUUGCAGCUGCUCCCAACCCCAGCAACUUUGCUAUCUUAGAACGGAUCACCAGUGAAAGAGGGGAAGUUGCUACUGUGAUGAAUUCUGCCAUGUGGUACCAGACUGCUGCCCAGACCACAGUGUCCUCUGCAACCCUG
rnacentral:lncRNA from 1 species